GGUUAAACCAAUCUCUGGGCUCCUCCUAAAUCAGAUCCUCCAGCAACAAUGCUGAGAUCCUCCACAGAACAAAGGACAGCUCCAUGCUGGAGAGAGACCAUUCCUUCUACAGCAAAAGGAGAGACAAGGAAAUAAAUUACUUUAAUUCAGCUGAGGAUGCAAAGAGCUGCUGUUCAUCAUGGAAGGAGUAGACGUUUGCAUUUUUGUGAAGAAGAGCAGUAACUGCCCAGAAAGGACUGAAAACAGGAGACUAAAAUUCAGCUCAUCAGCGCAGACACGGGAGGCCCCCUAGUCCAGCCUCCUUCUWCUCCUGCAAGCCUUAGAAAUUACCAACCAUUAACAUUUCAUCAGGUCAGGGAUUUGGAUGGCASCUCGCUCUGGAGCUGUCUGAAAGCAAUGCAGUUUUCUAGGGGUGUUUGAGGUGCAGCUGCUGCGGUUAAUUCAAGUGCUGGUUGUGACUCCAGGGCCAUAUAGCCUGACCAGUUCCCGAAUGUCACAGCUGGACUCCAGCCCACUGUGUGCCCAGAGGGGCGUAAAUCCACUGCAGACUGUGAAGAGGAGAAAAACAAGCAGGAAUGAAGUCUGAGAACRCAAGGAAGGAGGUCUU